rnacentral:lncRNA from 1 species
ACCUGUGUGCAAAGGCUCCGUAUAAGUAAUGCCUUUGGCUAGUUCCCUAACGGACAUCAACGUCUUCUUAUCAGAUAAAUGCUCAAUCAUUUCCUUCUCUUGUUGAAACACUUGUUCGGCAUGACUUAUCUCAGGUUGCUCUUUCUUGAGCUGAGAUGCCUUCACAAGCAAACUCGGCUUAGCCUCAACAAGCUUUAUUUUAUCCUCUUCCUCUUCAAAUGCUUCAGAUUUCCCUUUGCGCUGAAGGAUCAAUGGCUAAUGGUGGCUUCCACCCUGUGCGCAAAGGCUCCGUAUAAGUAAUGCCUUUGGCGAGUUCCCUAACGGACAUCAACGUCUUCUUAUCAGAUAAAUGCUCAAUCAUCUCCUUCUCUUGUUGAAACACUUGUUCCGCAUGACUUAUCUCAGGUUGCUCUUUCUUGAGCUGAGAUGCCUUUACAAGCAAACUCGGCUUAGCCUCGACGAGCUUUAUUUUCUCCUCUUCCUCUUCAAAUGCUUCAGAUUUCCCCUUGCGUUGAAGGAUUUUUUGCGCCUCAAUUGCCCUGCGC